UUGGUCCUCCCAUAAUCUGUCAGCCAUGGAUGGUUUGGCACACACCCACAUCUUCAAAUAGAAGCUGCUGAAUUGUGAGCCCAUUGAUCUCAAUCGUUUUGUCGUGGACCUCAGGACCAGGCAUCUACAAUAUUGGGCGCCUUUUUCCAACACACACCCAAGAGAGCGCAACAGUAAACGCUUGACCUAUCACCAGUGGUGCGCUCCUCCUACAAAAAGGCCCUUGGUUGGGCAUUCUUCCUACAGUCUCCCCAAAUA
rnacentral:lncRNA from 1 species